rnacentral:rRNA from 1 species
UCGAGCGGACAGAUGGGAGCUUGCUCCCUGAUGUCAGCGGCGGACGGGUGAGUAACACGUGGGUAACCUGCCUGUAAGACUGGGAUAACUCCGGGAAACCGGGGCUAAUACCGGAUGCUUGAUUGAACCGCAUGGUUCAAUUAUAAAAGGUGGCUUUUAGCUACCACUUACAGAUGGACCCGCGGCGCAUUAGCUAGUUGGUGAGGUAACGGCUCACCAAGGCAACGAUGCGUAGCCAACCUGAGAGGGUGAUCGGCCACACUGGGACUGAAACACGGCCCAAACUCCUACGGGAGGCAGCAGUAGGGAAUCUUCCGCAAUGGACGAAAGUCUGACGGAGCAACGCCCCGUGAGUGAUGAAGGUUUUCGGAUCGUAAAACUCUGUUGUUAGGGAAAAACAAGUACCGUUCGAAUAGGGCGGUACCUUGACGGUACCUAACCAGAAAGCCACGGCUAACUACGUGCCAGCAGCCGCGGUAAUACGUAGGUGGCAAGCGUUGUCCGGAAUUAUUGGGCGUAAAGCGCGCGCAGGCGGUUUCUUAAGUCUGAUGUGAAAGCCCCCGGCUCAACCGGGGAGGGUCAUUGGAAACUGGGGAACUUGAGUGCAGAAGAGGAGAGUGGAAUUCCACGUGUAGCGUGAAAUGCGUAGAGAUGUGGAGGAACACCAGUGGCGAAGGCGACUCUCUGGUCUGUAACUGACGCUGAGGCGCGAAAGCGUGGGGAGCGAACAGGAUUAGAUACCCUGGUAGUCCACGCCGUAAACGAUGAGUGCUAAGUGUUAGAGGGUUUCCGCCCUUUAGUGCUGCAGCAAACGCAUUAAGCACUCCGCCUGGGGAGUACGGUCGCAAGACUGAAACUCAAAGGAAUUGACGGGGGCCCGCACAAGCGGUGGAGCAUGUGGUUUAAUUCGAAGCAACGCGAAGAACCUUACCAGGUCUUGACAUCCUCUGACAACCCUAGAGAUAGGGCUUCCCCUUCGGGGGCAGAGUGACAGGUGGUGCAUGGUUGUCGUCAGCUCGUGUCGUGAGAUGUUGGGUUAAGUCCCGCAACGAGCGCAACCCUUGAUCUUAGUUGCCAGCAUUCAGUUGGGCACUCUAAGGUGACUGCCGGUGACAAACCGGAGGAAGGUGGGGAUGACGUCAAAUCAUCAUGCCCCUUAUGACCUGGGCUACACACGUGCUACAAUGGGCAGAACAAAGGGCAGCGAAGCCGCGAGGCUAAGCCAAUCCCACAAAUCUGUUCUCAGUUCGGA